UACGUAGGGACCGAGCGUUGUCCGGAAUCAUUGGGCGUAAAGAGCGUGUAGGCGGCCCCUUAAGUCCUGCGUGAAAUCCUGCGGCUCAACCGCAGACGGUCGUGGGAAACUGGAGGGCUAGAGUGCGGGAGAGGAGAGUGGAAUUCCCGGUGUAGCGGCGAAAUGCGCAGAUAUCGGGAAGAACACCCGUGGCGAAGGCGGCGCUCUGGGCUGGAACUGACGCUGAGGAGCGAAAGCGUGGGGAGCGAACAGG
rnacentral:rRNA from 1 species